GGGGGCUCUCAACUUCGGAUGUGCUGGACGGAGCCGCGGAUUCAUAAUCCGUGGGCCGUGGGUUCGAGUCCCACCCGCCCCCCACCA
rnacentral:tRNA from 1 species